UGGUUGGUUAUGUGCCACGAUACAUGUCCUGUUAGCUCUCUGGGUAGCCAUGGGGGCCUGGGGCAGCCAGCAUUUACACCAGCGUUUUGUUCAAAUAUUAUCAUUUAUAUGUGUGCCAACAGGUGCAAAGGGUGAGGAGUCCUGGUUAAGAGAGCAGAAGAGUAACCUUAUAGCCCCGUGAGAGUAAGGAGCCCCUGUCUAUGUGAGCAAUUCAGAGUUAAUCACAAGAAAUCAAGAAUUGCGUGGUAUCUCCAGUCUUCACCCAAAUCACCUCCUGAGUUCCUCAAAGACUGCUGUCUUCUUCCUGGGUGCCUGGGUGUCUCUUACCAGCUCCCCAGCCUUGCCAGACUGUGCCAUGAAUGGAUUAUGCUUCUGACGAAAUCCCUGACGGCGUUUUGUUGGGUCUCCACCGCAGGGUUCUUGUGUAUUCUCAAGCACCCUCUCUGGGUUUCCCUUCCACUGCACCACAGGCUGAUGAAGGGACACUUUCCAAACCACAGGGCUCUCCCUUUGUCAGUGUCCUACACUCUUUCAUCGCCUGUAUUAGCCUCUCAUUUCAAUCUCUAUCCAAUCUAAUUUCAAAUGUCCAGUUUUCUAAAAUUCUGUAGACUUUUCUCCACUGCGUCUCUUCUAGCCUCACUUCUAGUCUUUUUAAAAGGUAGUCAGAUGCAAUUAGAUCCAGUAAUUCACAUUACUCUUGUUAUCUCCACACAAAGUAGUCAUGUCCUUUUUUCUUCUUUAGUCUCUACUUUGUCUGAAUAUUUGCUAAUAGCCUUGAUCUUAAGCGCUCAAACUCAUUACCAGACUAGGUACUCUUCACUUUUAUUUGGUAUUUAAUUCUGUUUUUUAUGUCAAAGGAAGAAAUGUAUGUAAAAGCCUUUUAUAAACCAGAAAGCACUAUACACUCAUAUAACUUAUUGAGAUUAACAAAAGACCACUGUGCCGCUUUUCACGCUUUCUGCUCCUUCUGAGCCAAAAGAACUUCUCCGUAGAGGAGGGAAAUAUUGAAGAAAAAUAAAGCAAUGGAGUUGUCUCUUA